rnacentral:rRNA from 1 species
AGUGAACGCUGGCGGUAGGCCUAACACAUGCAAGUCGAGCGGCAGCACAGUAAGAGCUUGCUCUUACGGGUGGCGAGUGGCGGACGGGUGAGGAAUACAUCGGAAUCUACUUUUUCGUGGGGGAUAACGUAGGGAAACUUACGCUAAUACCGCAUACGACCUACGGGUGAAAGCAGGGGAUCUUCGGACCUUGCGCGAUUGAAUGAGCCGAUGUCGGAUUAGCUAGUUGGCGGGGUAAAGGCCCACCAAGGCGACGAUCCGUAGCUGGUCUGAGAGGAUGAUCAGACACACUGGAACUGAGACACGGUCCAGACUCCUACGGGAGGCAGCAGUGGGGAAUAUUGGACAAUGGGCGCAAGCCUGAUCCAGCCAUACCGCGUGGGUGAAGAAGGCCUUCGGGUUGUAAAGCCCUUUUGUUGGGAAAGAAAAGCAGCAGGUUAAUACCCCGCUGUUCUGACGGUACCCAAAGAAUAAGCACCGGCUAACUUCGUG